AAGCGCCCUCUAGCUCAUCCACCCACUUGAACAACCCACUAAACUCAAAAACUAAAACAUUUUCCCUACUUAGUAUAGGCGAUAGAAAAGUUACUUGACGCAAUAGAGAUAUCCUUGUACCGCAAGGGAAAGAUGAAAUAAUAAUGAAAACCAAAGCAAAAAACAGCAAAGAUCAACCCUUGUACCUUUUGCAUCAUGAUUUAGCAAGAACAACCAAGCAAAACGAAUUUAAGCUUGCCAUCCCGAAACCCAAGCGAGCUACUUACAAGCAGCUAUUAUUGAGCAAACCCGUCUCUGUGGCAAAAGAGUGGGAAGACUUGUCAGUAGAGGUGAAAAGCCAACCGAGCUGGGUGAUAGCUGGUUGCCUGUGAAAAGAAUCUAAGUUCACUCCUAACUUACCCCUCCCGGCAUCCACUAACCUUAAUGAGGAAAGCUAGGAACUAUUUAAAGGAGGUACAGCUCCUUUAAAAAAGAACACAACCUCCAUUAGAGGGUAACCCCCCCCCCCCCUCCUCCCACGUUGGCCCUAAAGCAGCCAUCAACAAAGAGUGCGUCAAAGCUCAACCAAAUAAAAAUUCAAUAACACUAUGACCCCCUACACCACUAACAGGCCAAUCUAUGACCAUAGAAGAACUUAUGCUAAAAUGAGUAAUUAGAAAUUCUUCUCUAAAGCGCAAGCUUACAUUAUAUAUUAUUAACAGCCUAACUUAUAUUUACACCCCUACUAGAACAAAUAUAAAACCACUCUGUUAACCCGACUCAGGAGCGCCUAUUAGAAAGAUUAAAAUCUGCAAAAGGAACUAGGCAAACCCAAGGCCCGACUGUUUACCAAAAACAUAGCCUUCAGCCAAUAACAAGUAUUGAAGGUGAUGCCUGCCCA
rnacentral:rRNA from 1 species